rnacentral:lncRNA from 10 species
AGUGAGGUCCCUCUUGGCAGCCUUUGUAUCUAGAGAGAGCCGUCCAAUAGAAACAUAAGGACAUCUGAGUUUGGAUGUUACCUUUUUAUUGGAAAUAUGGGAUCUGCACUUAGAUUUCACUGAAUUUACAUUGAAAAGAGGGCAGGCCCUUCAGCUCCAUUCUCCUCCAAGGCUGCAGAGGGGGCAGGAAUUGGGGGUGACAGGAGAGCUGUAAGGUCUCCAGUGGGUCAUUCUGGGCCCAGAGAUGGGUGCUGAAGCUCCCACGCCUGCCUGUGAAAAUGGAGUCCUCUUUCACCUGGGAGAGCCAGGUGCUGCCCCGAGAAGGAUGCAUUUAUGGCUUCGUGAAGUCUUUCCUGACCCCCGAUGCUGCUGACUAUAGAGACAAAGUCUCACUAUGUUGCUCAGGCUGGUCUUGAACUCCUGGCCUCAAGCGAUCCUCCCACCUCAGCCUCCCAAAGUGUUGGGAUUAUAGACAUGAGCCACUGCACCUGGCCGACCUUGGGCAAGUUCUUAAACCCUUCAAAGCCUCAUUUUUCUCCAAUCACAAAAGGGAAAGAUGGUAAUAUUUUCCCCACCAAAUUCUUGUCGGAUGCCCUCACAGAAUUGAGAUUAUGUACGUAAAACACCAGGUGCCUAACCCGGCACAGAGCAGGAGGGCUAAGCGUGACAUCCAGCACGUGGUCAGUGGAAUCCAGUAUUCCUACCCACCUCUCUAGUCUCCCCUCCACCCCUCUCCCUUUCAGAGGCACCAAGCUGCUUGUGGUCUUGUCUAUUCCCACUCCCUGCCUGACUGAACAUUUUCUCCACCUCCUGAUCAUCAGCAGCAGAAACUGGCUGCUCUUCCUCCUGGGUAGACAGCCAGACUGUAUUUCCCAGCUGCCCCUGCAGUGAGAUGUGGCCAUCGGAGCCAGCAUUGGCCAAUGGACUCUGCAUGGGAGUGACGCAUGCUGCCUCCAGGCUUGUCUCUAAAACCUCCCACGUGUCCUCCGCCUGCUCUUCCCACCUCCA